rnacentral:rRNA from 1 species
UACGUAGGGGGCGAGCGUUACCCGGAUUUACUGGGCGUAAAGCGCGUGUAGGCGGCUGGCAAAGUGUGGUGUGAAAUCUCCCGGCUCAACCGGGAAACUGCACUGCAAACUUGUCUGGCUAGAGUGCAGGAGAGGGAAGUGGAAUCCCCGGUGUAGCGGUGAAAUGCGUAGAUAUCGGGGGGAACACCAGUGGCGAAGGCGGCUUCCUGGCCUGUAACUGACGCUGAUACGCGAAAGCGUGGGGAGCGAACCGG